rnacentral:rRNA from 1 species
UUGUUGGUGGGGUAGUGGCCUACCAAGGCGACGACGGGUAGCCGGCCUGAGAGGGUGACCGGCCACACUGGGACUGAGACACGGCCCAGACUCCUACGGGAGGCAGCAGUGGGGAAUAUUGCGCAAUGGGCGGAAGCCUGACGCAGCGACGCCGCGUGGGGGAUGACGGCCUUCGGGUUGUAAACCUCUUUCAGCAGGGACGAAGCGGAAGUGACGGUACCUGCAGAAGAAGCACCGGCCAACUACGUGCCAGCAGCCGCGGUAAUACGUAGGGUGCAAGCGUUGUCCGGAAUUAUUGGGCGUAAAGAGCUCGUAGGCGGUUUGUUGCGUCGGCUGUGAAAUCCCGAGGCUCAACCUCGGGUCUGCAGUCGAUACGAGCAAACUAGAGUGUUGCAGGGGAGACUGGAAUUCCUGGUGUAGCGGUGAAAUGCGCAGAUAUCAGGAGGAACACCGGUGGCGAAGGCGGGUCUCUGGGCAACAACUGACGCUGAGGAGCGAAAGCGUGGGGAGCGAACAGGAUUAGAUACCCUGGUAGUCCACGCCGUAAACGUUGGGCGCUAGGUGUGGGGCUCAUUCCACGAGUUCCGUGCCGCAGCUAACGCAUUAAGCGCCCCGCCUGGGGAGUACGG